rnacentral:rRNA from 3 species
UACGUAGGUGGCAAGCGUUAUCCGGAAUUACUGGGCGUAAAGCGCACGCAGGCGGUCUUUUAAGUUUGACGUGAAAGCUCCCGGCUUAACUGGGAGAGGUCGUUGAAGACUGGAAGACUUGAGGCAAUGAGAGGGGUGUAGAAUUCCCGGUGUAGUGGUGGAAUGCGUAGAUAUCGGGGGGAAUACCAGUGGCGAAAGCGGCACCCUAGCGUUAGCCUGACGCUCAUGUGCGAAAGCGUGGGGAGCGAACGGG